UGUAGGGACAAGAGAUGAUUAGACAUCUAUGGAUUUUACUACAGCAGGGACUGGGCAUCCCAGAAGAGCUGUAGGAUACCUUCAAAGCAGACUGCAACAUGCAGUCCUCAAAAGAUCUUGGCAAAAGUGAUCUAACACAAGAGACCACAGGAAUGAAGGAGUUAAGACAUCUUCAAUUUAGUGGAAACGAUGACCACAGCUGUGACAUCAUGAGCCAUGGUGGCCCAGUGGUUAGAAUGCAGCACUUCAAGCUACUUCUGCUGACUUCUGGCUGACUGCAGUUCGCAGUUCAAUCCUCACCAGCUCUAGGUUGACAUGGCCUUCUAUCCUUCCAAGACUGUUUCAGAGAUCCUGCAAAAUAUGAAAAGUUCAACUUCGGAUACAGACCACAAGAACCAGAAAUGUCAUGAAGUAUCAAGAAAGCAGUCAGAUAUCAGAACACGAAAAGGCUAUUAUUGAAGCUGACUUCAAAUGAUAUGUCUAAUUCUAAGGUAAUGAUGUUAUUAUAUGCAUUAAGAAUGGAAUCUUGUUCUCAAGUUAUUUUGAAAG